rnacentral:misc_RNA from 1 species
GAUGAAGAACGCAGCGAAAUGCGAUAAGUAAUGUGAAUUGCAGAAUUCAGUGAAUCAUCGAAUCUUUGAACGCACAUUGCGCCCGCCAGUAUUCUGGCGGGCAUGCCUGUUCGAGCGUCAUUUCAACCAUCAAGCCCCCGGCUUGUGUUGGGGACCUGCGGCUGCCGCAGGCCCUGAAAACCAGUGGCGGGCUCGCUAGUCACUCCGAGCGUAGUAAUACAUCUCGCUCAGGGCGUGCUGCGGGUCCCGGCCGUUAAAAAGCCUUAUUUACCCAAGGUUGACCUCGGAUCAGGUAGGAAGACCCGCUGAACUUAAGCAUAUCAAUAAGCGGAGGA